UCUCUGAUGUUAGCGGCGGACGGGUGAGUAACACGUGGAUGACCUACCUAUAAGACUGGGAUAACUUCGGGAAACCGGCAGCUAAUACCGGAUAAUAUUUUGAACCGCAUGGUUCAAAAGUGAAAGCACGGUCUUGCUGUCACUUAUAGAUGGAUCCGCGCUGCAUUAGCUAGUUGGUAAGGUAACGGCUUACCAAGGCAACGAUGCAUAGCCGACCUGAGAGGGUGAUCGGCCACACUGGAACUGAGACACGGUCCAGACUCCUACGGGAGGCAGCAGUAGGGAAUCUUCCGCAAUGGGCGAAAGCCUGACGGAGCAACGCCGCGUGAGUGAUGAAGGUCUUCGGAUCGUAAAACUCUGUUAUUAGGGAAGAACAUAUGUGUAAGUAACUGUGCACAUCUUGACGGUACCUAAUCAGAAAGCCACGGCUAACUACGUGCCAGCAGCCGCGGUAAUACGUAGGUGGCAAGCGUUAUCCGGAAUUAUUGGGCGUAAAGCGCGCGUAGGCGGUUUUUUAAGUCUGAUGUGAAAGCCCACGGCUCAACCGUGGAGGGUCAUUGGAAACUGGAAAACUUGAGUGCAGAAGAGGAAAGUGGAAUUCCAUGUGUAGCGGUGAAAUGCGCAGAGAUAUGGAGGAACACCAGUGGCGAAGGCGACUUUCUGGUCUGUAACUGACGCUGAUGUGCGAAAGCGUGGGGAUCAAACAGGAUUAGAUACCCUGGUAGUCCACGCCGUAAACGAUGAGUGCUAAGUGUUAGGGGGUUUCCGCCCCUUAGUGCUGCAGCUAACGCAUUAAGCACUCCGCCUGGGGAGUACGACCGCAAGUG
rnacentral:rRNA from 1 species